rnacentral:lncRNA from 1 species
UGAAAAGAUCUCUGUAGAAACAACAUCCGAGCUCCAUAAGGAGCAAGCUGAGGUUAAAGAGAACUGCAAACUGCGUUCCUUCAUUAUGAAGCUACAAGAAGAGCUGCUGAACUACAUGUCAGAAGCACGUAUGCCAGCUGAGAAAACCACCACCUGCAGUUGUGGAAAAGACAGAUAAGUGUCACCACCAGGGACACGGCCCGAGGUCACAUGGUCAC